GACUCAAAAGCAGUCCACAUCUUCUAUGCUGAUAGUCGAAGAUCAAGAGAUGCUUCAGGAUGUGAGUAAGAGGAAAAAAUCACCUGGGAUAAGUAAGAGCUAGGAACUUGACAGUGGAAAAACUAGGUUAAUCAGGCACCAUAGAUUGAGUAAAAGCAGUAGCCACUCUCCAACAAAUGAAGUAAAGACAGACUCCUUACCUGUUUGGAGAUUGUCAUCGGUUCCUUUUAUCGACUUUGAUAUCAACCGGUUCAAGGCAUUGAAUGUCAUCGAUCGAGUGGACACGCUUCAAAGUCUGUAACUAUAUGUUGAAUCAUGAUUCAUAGGCAGGGGCCUUUUACUUUUGCUUGUGUAGAAGCUCAUCUGCUGCAUUUUCACAUGUCGGGUGUUAAAUAGGUUUGCGAUUGGCUAUAUUUUUGGCGAGUAUACGAAGUGGGUGCUGAGUGAUACAAGCUAUUAUAUUUCUUACAUGUGAGAAAUGUAGGAUGGUGGAUGCAUUUGUUCAGAGGGGAAAUUAAACUGAUCUCAAGACAAUACUUUUCUCUUUAGUUCUAUAUGUACAGAAUAUUUCAU